UACGUAGGGGGCGAGCGUUGUUCGGAAUUACUGGGCGUAAAGGGCGUGUAGGCGGUGCGGUAAGUCGGGCGUGAAAUCCCCGGGCUCAACCCGGGGCGGUCGUGCGAAACUGCCGUGCUAGAGUGCAGGAGAGGGAAGUGGAAUUCCCGGUGUAGCGGUGAAAUGCGUAGAUAUCGGGAGGAACCCCUGCGGCGAAGGCGGAUUCCUGGACUGCAACUGACGCUGAGGCGCGAAAGCUAGGGGAGCAAACAGG
rnacentral:rRNA from 1 species